UACGUAGGGUGCGAGCGUUGUCCGGAAUUAUUGGGCGUAAAGGGCUCGUAGGCGGUCUGUCACGUCGGGAGUGAAAACACGGGGCUUAACCCCGUGCCUGCUUCCGAUACGGGCAGACUAGAGGUAUGCAGGGGAGAACGGAAUUCCUGGUGUAGCGGUGAAAUGCGCAGAUAUCAGGAGGAACACCGGUGGCGAAGGCGGUUCUCUAGUACGGUACUGACGCUGAGACGCGAAAGCGUGGGGAGCGAACAGG
rnacentral:rRNA from 1 species